rnacentral:rRNA from 1 species
UCUUGGCCAGCCUUCUGAAAGGAAGAUUAAUACAAGAUGGCAUCAUGAGUCCGCAUGUUCACAUGAUUAAAGGUAUUCCGGUAGACGAUGGGGAUGCGUCCCAUUAGAUAGUAGGCGGGGUAACGGCCCACCUAGUCUUCGAUGGAUAGGGGUUCUGAGAGGAAGGUCCCCCACAUUGGAACUGAGACACGGUCCAAACUCCUACGGGAGGCAGCAGUGAGGAAUAUUGGUCAAUGGGCGAGAGCCUGAACCAGCCAAGUAGCGUGAAGGAUGACUGCCCUAUGGGUUGUAAACUUCUUUUAUAAAGGAAUAAAGUCGGGUAUGCAUACCCGUUUGCAUGUACUUUAUGAAUAAGGAUCGGCUAACUCCGUGCCAGCAGCCGCGGUAAUACGGAGGAUCCGAGCGUUAUCCGGAUUUAUUGGGUUUAAAGGGAGCGUAGAUGGAUGUUUAAGUCAGUUGUGAAAGUUUGCGGCUCAACCGUAAAAUUGCAGUUGAUACUGGAUAUCUUGAGUGCAGUUGAGGCAGGCGGAAUUCGUGGUGUAGCGGUGAAAUGCUUAGAUAUCACGAAGAACUCCGAUUGCGAAGGCAGCCUGCUAAGCUGCAACUGACAUUGAGGCUCGAAAGUGUGGGUAUCAAACAGGAUUAGAUACCCUGGUAGUCCACACGGUAAACGAUGAAUACUCGCUGUUUGCGAUAUACAGCAAGCGGCCAAGCGAAAGCGUUAAGUAUUCCACCUGGGGAGUACGCCGGCAACGGUGAAACUCAAAGGAAUUGACGGGGGCCCGCACAAGCGGAGGAACAUGUGGUUUAAUUCGAUGAUACGCGAGGAACCUUACCCGGGCUUAAAUUGCAGAUGAAUUACGGUGAAAGCCGUAAGCCGCAAGGCAUCUGUGAAGGUGCUGCAUGGUUGUCGUCAGCUCGUGCCGUGAGGUGUCGGCUUAAGUGCCAUAACGAGCGCAACCCUUGUUGUCAGUUACUAACAGGUUCCGCUGAGGACUCUGACAAGACUGCCAUCGUAAGAUGUGAGGAAGGUGGGGAUGACGUCAAAUCA